CAGGGCUGGGAGUGGGGAGCCUGGUGUGCACGCGUGCCCAGGCCUGCACGUGGACCGACCAGGGGAGGGGCCCAGAGCUCUGGCUGGGUCACCCGCACCCCGCCCCCAUCUCCUCCAGAGCCACCCCAGGAAAAGCCCGGCUGGACGAGGUCAUGGCUGCCGCUGCCCUUACAAGCCUGUCCACCAGCCCUCUCCUUCUGGGGGCCCCAGUUGCAGCCUUCAGCCCAGAGCCCGGCCCAGGUCAUGUUCCAGUGUCUGUGGAAGAACUGCGGGAAGGUGCUGAGCACGGCGUCGGCGAUGCAGAGACACAUCCGCCUGGUGCACCUGGAGGCAGGCAGAGCCUGAGCAGAGUGACGGUGAGGAGGACUUCUACUACACAGAGCUGGAUGUUGGUGUGGACACGCUGACCGACGGGCUGUCCAGCCUGACUCCAGUGUCCCCCACGGCCUCCAUGCCGCCUGCCUUCCCCCGCCUGGAGCUGCCAGAGCUGCUGGAGCCCCCAGCCCUGCCUAGUCCCCUGCGGCCGCCUGCCCCGCCCCUGCCCCCGCCCCCUGUCCUGAGCACUGUUGCUAACCCCCAGUCCUGUCACAGUGACCGUGUCUACCAGGGCUGCCUGACGCCCACCCGCCUGGAGCCACAGCCCACGGAGGUCGGAGCCUGCCCACCCGCCUUGUCCUCCAGGAUCGGAGUCACCCUGAGGAAGCCCCGCGGCGACGCAAAGAAGUGCCGGAAGGUGUAUGGCAUGGAGCGCCGGGACCUGUGGUGCACAGCCUGCCGCUGGAAGAAAGCCUGCCAGCGGUUCCUGGACUAAGUCCGGCUCGUUCAAGAACAUAAGCUACCACCUCUCCCUCCCCAGCCCUCCAGGCCCGGGGCUGAAACAGCCGGGGGACAGCCCCAGGGGCUGGCCUUCACCAGCUGCAGGGUCUGCUUUUAAUUGGGGUGGGGGGGCGGGGCUGACCCUGAACUCCCCCCCCCAGGUCGGGGAGGGGUCCCACCACUCAAAGUGCCUCUGAAGAAACCAGCUUUUUGCACUAAAGCCAAACCACACCGCUGUCCCCUUAGCCCCAAGAGCCCUGGGGGCAGCCACCCUCCCGCCUGUCGGCCCGUAGAUUUAUCAAGGGUGUUAUGGGCCCAGCUUUGGGGGGCCAGUCCCGAUGCACUUUGAGGGGUGUUGGAGAGAGGACUCCCCCACUCGCACUUAACUCAAUGGCUCUCGGGCCCUGGGGCUGUUUUUACCAUGUUUUUGAAGCUCAGGUGUCUCACGUCUGGGCUGCACCAGGCGAAGAGAGAAAUUAAAGAUUUGAGGUUUUUCCAGAA
rnacentral:sRNA from 1 species